rnacentral:lncRNA from 1 species
UUUUUUUUUUUUUUUUUUUUGGGGCAGGUACCAUAUCACUCCCUUUCUUGGUGCAAGAAUUGGUUGGGACCAAAAGUGAACAUAACAAGGGCUCCUCAGGUACUUCAGUUAGUGCGUAAAAUCAUAAUUUUUAUGCGUUAUACAAUAAGUGCUGCUGUUAGUUUGAUUCAUUCGACUAUUCUAGGAUUGAGAUUUUUACCUUGACCUGACGCACAAGCAGUUUAAUGAAAAUAUCUUUCCUGUUUCUUUCAAUAGAAACUUAGAAUCAAAUGUCACAUUACCAUCUUAAAAAAUACAAGUAACUAGAAUUUCUAAAUAAACACCUCCUACCAUGCAAGAAAAAAACAUGAAAGAAAUGUUGGUUUCUUUUGUUGCUGCAAUUGCUGUACUGGAUUUGCCAUAUUUGAAAAGCUUAUUGACACAAGUUCACUGAUAAUAGCCAUCCUGUUUCCCUACUCUAUGGUUCUUUUUUUCCUCCCUUCUGAUUAGCUAGACAUAUGAGUUGGUUGCCAAGGUGAAUACCUUGAGAACAACAUUUUUGCUCUUUUCCUCUCUGAUUUUUAUUUAUAAUAUAUAUAUAUAUAUAUAUUCCUUUUGCUCGUUACUCUUGCAGUCAGAGCAUGAUGGCUCAGAUGUACAAGUUGAAUUACAUGUAGAACAUCACCACGAAGCAGAUAUCCUACCCAACAUGACACGGUCACCUCGGGAGAAGUACAUAACCUAUUAUGAAGAUUCUGAAAGCAUUCCAGGGAAGAGGACAGCUGUCUGGGAGCUUGAUAAAGGUAUCUGAACCAUCUUACUUUGAAUUUUGGUCGUACAUGUUCUUUUUUGCUAUGGAAGAUGACUCUUACCCUUCGUCAUUGGCAAAUUAACAAAAAUUGUUACCCUUGGUGGUUGGGGGAUGGAUAUCCUCUAAUCUUGUCCUGUUGCUUGAUACUGCAUAGGGGUCCUUUUUAUCAUGCAUAUUACCACUUAUUUGACUUGUAUUUCCUAUUAGGUAUGUAUUCAUGGAAAAAUGAGACAAAACAUGACUGAAAUUACCUGCAGGGAUCCUUUUUAUUUGUCUUUCUUUUCUGCUUUCAAGGGUGCUAGAUACCAUUGUCUUUCCACUUGCAGAACCUAUUUCUUUUUGUGAAAGUUGGCUUACAAAUAGGAAUUACGUGAACUUCAUAUAAAGUAUGAACUACUUCAUCUUUCUGCAUGGCUUGUUACUGUAAUUUAUUUUGAUUUUGUUGAUGAAUGAUGAAUAUGCAUUGCCAUAUCUUAUAUAGGCAUGACUGAUUCUCCUGUUGCAACUUUGACAUGUUCUUUUUAUUCUAUCUCAAUAUGAUACAAGUCUUGCUCAUUUAAAUUGUAAUAUGUCUCUUUUACAGCAAAUCACAGGAAUAUUGUCAGGUCACCGGUUUUGAUGCGGGAACUAUGGCUGGAGAUGUGGCAUGACAUUCAUCCUGAUAAAAAAUCAAAUUUUGUUACUAAAGGUGGAUAUUUCUUUUGAUUUUCUUUUUUUCCUUUUUUCUGGGAGAGGGGGGUGUGUUUUCAAACUUGUCUUACAAGUAUUACACGAUAGGUAAGCGGGGACCUCUAAGGGACGAAGACUGCUACUGGGAUUAUGGAAAAGCUCGGUGUGCAUGGCCUGAGCAUUGCGAAUACAGGUUUUGUUGGCCUUCCAGUAAAACCAUUAUUUGUCCUGCAAUUAUUUUCUUUAGAAUACCAAAGGUCAUCUAAUUCACUAAGGUGUGAUGUUUCAGAUAUGUAUUUGGGGAUGUUCAUCUUGGACAGAGCUGCAGAUUGAGGAAUAGUUCAGCUGAUCUGCUCUUGCAUUAUGUAUAAUUUAUGAGGUAAAGUGGAGAAUUUUGUUUCUUUGUCUGGAGGUUGAGUAGGA